rnacentral:rRNA from 1 species
UUAUGGCCACAUCACGCUGAAACACUGCUUCCAGUAAGAUUACCGAAGUUAAGCAACGUCGAACAUGGUCAGUACCUAGAUGGGUAACCGCUCGGGAAUACCAGGUGCUGUAAG